ensembl:lncRNA
GCUAGCUGUAAACCACUUCUUAUGAUAACAUACCUCCCUUUUUCUUAUCAUAGAGAGAAGAAAAAAUGGAAAAAGGGGAAGCCGAUGCUAAAAGGGAAAUAGGGGCUUUAGACCUCUUAAACUGCUCCCUGCUGUCUAGGAGCAUUAUCAGUUUUGGGAUGUAGCUGACUUUCACCAUCCAGGCCCACUUGAUAGUUGUGUAAAAGGAACUGUUUGGUUUUUGGUUAGAAAAUAUUGAAUUUGUCUUUGAAGGAAUGUCGAAACAAGAUAAAUGAGGCAGGGAGGAAAUAGUAUCUCCAGGAAAAUGGGGAGAAGAGGCAUUAAGAAGGCAGUAUCCUAUUUCCAUGUAGGGUUUUGAAAAACCCAGGAAUUGGAGGCCUCAUGCUGUUCCCUGCAUUUCUGGAUGUCUGAUUGCAGCUGAUGGAAUGUAUUUCUUACUGCCCCAGAUUCGUUGACAUAGAAACAGCAUUCUUCCUGGUGAAAUAGACAAAGACCACCUUCUUUAGCUGUCAGGACUUCUAGUCCCUGUCAGUUCUGAAGCACAACUGCUGCCAAAGAAUCGAACUUUUUCUGGAUGAUGAGCAUGGUUUCAUACAUUCACUGGAAACGGUUGCAAGCUUGGAUAAGAAUUUCUGGGAAGUCUUCGGCCCUGCUAUUCCAGUGCCAGCACCUGUAGCUACUCCUGCAGCAACCAGGAUUGGCACAACCUGCAGUGCCCUCUUAUGCUGGACAGGCAUUUGACAGGCUCAGAAUAAGACAACAUUUCUUCUCCCAAAACAUACUGAAGGUGUCUAAUUGGAUCACAAGAGAGAUAUGGGAAGACAUUCCACCUUGGUAAGUAAACGUGGGGUAUGUGCUGAGCAAGAGGCUUCUAAAUCAAGUUGUUGUCCAGGAAAGCAUUCUGAAGACUAUUGCUUCAUGCCUUGAGGGAUACAAAGGGUCAUUUGUAGACUGGUGGAAAAAUUUGCCCACCACAGGGAACGGGACUAGUGUUGUUCUACAUCAUGAAAUGUAGGAGGUGGCAUUUGACAGCUGGUAGCAUAGCCAGAGGUGAAUAUAACCUAAGUUACGUUGGAAAGUAAAAAUGCCAUUGAGUCAGUACAAUUUGCAGUUGAAGGUAGAAGUCUAGAGUCAAGACAAAACUGGGUUUAAAGAUAAACUUUGACAUACACCAGUCACGUGACAGUAAUCACUUAAAAAACAAACAAACAAACAAACAAACCAAAAAAAAAAAAAAAAAACCAAACACUCUUCAAGUUUAGUUUCCUUAGCACAGUGUUCUCCUGAUUUGGUUAUCUAUUUAUGUCCAGCAACUCCUCUCAAAUGAAAUGCCUUAAGACAACACAUAUUUAGUAAUUCUCAGGGUCAUUAUGAAUUAAGAAUGUGUUAU